rnacentral:rRNA from 1 species
AACGAACGCUGGCGGCAGGCCCAACACAUGCAAGUCGAACGAGAAGCCACCUUCGGGUGGUGGACAGUGGCAGACGGGUGAGUAACGCGUGGGAACGUGCCCUUCGGUUCGGGAUAACCCAGGGAAACUUGGGCUAAUACCGGAUACGCCCUCCGGGGGCAAGAUUCAUCGUCGAAAGCUCGGCCCGCGUCGGUUUAGCGAGUUGGUAGGGUAAUGGCCUACCAAGGCCACGAUCCGUAGCUGGUCUGAGAGGAUGACCAGCCACACUGGGACUGAGACACGGCCCAGACUCCUACGGGAGGCAGCAGUGGGGAAUAUUGGACAAUGGGCGAAAGCCUGAUCCAGCCAUGCCGCGUGGGUGAAGAAGGCCUUAGGGUUGUAAACCCCUUUCAGCGGGGAAGAUAAUGACGGUACCCGCAGAAGAAGUCCCGGCUAACUCCGUGCCAGCCGCCGCGGUAACAC